AUCGAACGCUGGCGGCGUGCUUAACACAUGCAAGUCGAACGCGAAAGGGACUUCGGUCCUGAGUAAAGUGGCGCACGGGUGAGUAACGCGUGGAUAAUCUGCCCUUAUGAUUGGACUAACAGUUGGAAACGGCUGCUAAUACCGGAUACACUCAAAAUGAACUUUUUGAGGAAAGAUGGCCUCUUCUUACAUGCUAUCGCAUACGGAUGACUCCACGUCCCAUUAGCUUGUUGGCGGGGUAACGGCCCACCAAGGCAACGAUGGGUAGCCGAUUUGAGAGGAGGGUCGGCCACACUGGAACUGAAACACGGUCCAGACUCCUACGGGAGGCAGCAGUGGGGAAUAUUGCGCAAUGGGCGAAAGCCUGACGCAGCGACGCCGCGUGAGGGAUGAAUGUUUUCGGAUCGUAAACCUCUGUCAGAAGGGAAGAAACUACGUUGUGCUAAUCAGCAGCGUACUGACGGUACCUUCAAAGGAAGCACCGGCUAACUCCGUGCCAGCCGCCGCUGUAA
rnacentral:rRNA from 1 species